rnacentral:lncRNA from 1 species
GGUCCUUUUCCAGGCAGGAAAUAUAACACUGACCAGAGAACCAAGUUCCUCUCUUGUAUGGAUUGUUUCUGUUAAUUAUCACUCAAAUCUGAACGGUGUGGUAGGACGGAGGGAUACCUUGAAAUCUAAGAAAAGGGGAAAAAAGUGCAAUCGCUACAGUGAUACUUUAGCAGAAGUUUCUAUUGCUAAGUAUUGUGGAGCUCAGAGGAAGAAGUAAAGGCUUCAAGACGUUGAACUUUAAGCUGAGUCUUGAAGGCGGAGUCUUCAAGUUAAAGAAGAGGGGUUAAGGAAAGUCCAGGGAGAAGGAACUGCAUGAGCUGUGAAGAACCAUGAUGCAUUCUUGGAAUUGGUAGCAUUCCCUUUGAAAUAUGGAUUGAAACCCAGGAAGCAUGAAAGAAACAAGAAUUCAAAACUUUAAAUUAAGACAAGACUAUGGUAAAGAGUUUGGCAUUGAACAUUCAGGAAAUGUAACAACUAGAACGAGUAUAAAGGGAAUAAAAUGCAAUUUGUGUUUUUA